ensembl:lncRNA
AAGAAAAAUUUCAACAUUUACAUUAUAUAUUCAAACUUUCAGUUCAGUCAUUAGCUGGAGAGGGGGAAGUGAAAGGGAAAGUUUUAGUUGGCUUUGUGUUGGUUGCCAGGAAACAUAUAAAGGGAAGAGAACAGAUGAAACAAACAACUCCUCAUUGCUGGGAAGGUGGCCUUCAGAGUCAAGUACUUCAUUGGUAGGGAAACUUGGCAGCUUUGUCAUCUAACUCUUCCAGACAAGAAAGUGGAGUUGAAAACUACAACAUGUUAAUGGAAGCAAGGCACCUGUUGAAGGAAAAAAAAGAUCCAACCAUAUAGAAACAGUUGAAGGUAGCUGAGAAAAUGUGAAGCCAUUAUGAGUUGCCAGAAAGCUGCACUUGAGUUAAACACAGGGUCACAGCCUGGGCCAAAGAGCCCUGAGAGAACAGAAGAUGUAACUGCAUUUGAAGACUAUGGCACAGGCCUGCUUGAAAACCAACUCAGCGUGUGUGACUUUGCAAAAAUACAGAAGGCCUUUGAGGCCGCGCUGCACCCCGUGGUUCCUGAGCCCUGGGCUGAAGUACGCCCUGCUGCCUCGCCGGUGCCGCUUUUGCUGUGCAACGAGAGCUCCUGCCCUGGGAAACUUCCUGGCGCCUGACGCGCACCACAGGCUGCAGCAAGACCUGUCGGAAGCGUGGGCUGGGAGGAGCCCGCCAUGGCCCUGUCCUCUCCAGGCUAGGAGCGACUUUGUGGGGUUUGUCGGCCCUUCUCUCAGGUGUCCUGGGUCUCAUGGAUCAGCCGGCGAGCCCUGUCAGAUGCCUCUCUCCUGUCUGGAGGAGCACUCUCCAAAACGCUGCCUGCCACCCGGGUCUUCUGGCGCAGAGUGAGGCCACAUCUGCAGCCCUUACCGCACGGAGUCCCAAGGCAUUCGGGGUGAUCAGCAUGACACAUCAAGAGGAGCCCCGUGGCUGACCCUGGAGGUGGACGGUCGGGUCGGAUUGGCCGCCCUCCAGCACGUGUUUCGAGUGAUGCCUUCCCUGGGUUACGCAGCCCUGAUCUGUAGCACACAACUUCCCAGCUCCAGCCAAUCUGGUCUUGCCGUCUCCUUCCAAGAAG